rnacentral:rRNA from 1 species
CCCCGGGCUCAACCUGGGAANUGCGUUCUGAACUGGGUGACUAGAGUGUGUCAGAGGGAGGUAGAAUUCCACGUGUAGCAGUGAAAUGCGUAGAGAUGUGGAGGAAUACCGAUGGCGAAGGCAGCNUCCUGGGAUAACACUGACGUUCAUGCCCGAAAGCGUGGGUAGCAAACAGGAUUAGAUACCCUGGUAGUCCACGCCCUAAACGAUGUCGAUUAGCUGUUGGGCAGCAUGACUGCUUAGUAGCGAAGCUAACGCGUGAAAUCGACCGCCUGGGGAGUACGGUCGCAAGAUUAAAACUCAAAGGAAUUGACGGGGACCCGCACAAGCGGUGGAUGAUGUGGAUUAAUUCGAUGCAACGCGAAGAACCUUACCUGGUCUUGACAUGUACGGAGCCCUCCAGAGACGGAGGGGUGCCUUCGGGAGCCGUAACACAGGUGCUGCAUGGCUGUCGUCAGCUCGUGUCGUGAGAUGUUGGGUUAAGUCCCGCAACGAGCGCAACCCUUGUCAUUAGUUGCCAUCAUUAAGUUGGGCACUCUAAUGAGACUGCCGGUGACAAGCCGGAGGAAGGUGGGGAUGACGUCAAGUCCUCAUGGCCCUUAUGACCAGGGCUUCACACGUCAUACAAUGGUCGGUACAGAGGGUAGCCAAGCCGCGAGGUGGAGCCAAUCUCACAAAACCGAUCGUAGUCCGGAUUGCACUCUGCAACUCGAGUGCAUGAAGUCGGAAUCGCUAGUAAUCGCAGGUCAGCAUACUGCGGUGAAUACGUUCCCGGGUCUUGUACACACCGCCCGUCACACCAUGGGAGUGGGGGAUACCA